CACGAUGGAGUCUCCAAGAGAGAGAAGCAACAUACAAGAUGUUCUUGUUGCGCUGAAAAAGAUCAAGCGUCAGUACAUGAGUCCUCUCUGUUCAGGGACAUAAUGGUGCAUGCAUUUUCUCUAAGCAAGAUUGCAACCUUCUUGAUUGUCUCAGUUAUAAAUUUGCAAUGCGGAGAAAAAUCUCAACACGAUUAGGCCAAGUAAGAAUAGCAUUUAACUAGUAGACUAGGCAAUUAUGCCCUAUAUAAUAAUAGAUUUGUUUAACUGGUGCCUAUGGGCACUCGUUAAGAUGUAUUUCGCGUAUUAUAUUUAAAAUUAGGGCAAAAAACUCCAGCGGCCAUUAAACUAUUGGCCGGAUCAUGUUUUGGCCAUCGAACUAUUUUUUGUCAAUAAUUGACCACUAAAUAACUUAAUCAGUCAACUUGUGACCAUUUCGUCGGUAAUUGCUCUUAAUUUCUGAAAUUAGCAUUACACGUGGCAAAGCGUAAGGGCAAUUUUGUCUAACAAUUUACUGACCCUAUAACUCAGUUUUCAUUAAACCAUCAAAGAGAAGGAAAGGGAAAAUCUUUUGCAGUGUGUCUGUCUCUUAGUCUCGAAGCGGUGGCUCCGUCUGCUCUGCUCCUCCACCGUCGCUCUCGCUCUCGCCUUCAUCGGUACUCCCCAUGCCAUUCCUUCUCUCUCCUCUUUCCUCUCCCACCAUCCCUAUCUCUCUUCUCUAUCGCUCACCGACUCCUCUUCUUCCUCCUCCUCCUCUUUCUCCCAUCACCUCCUUCAGUCCCUCGCCUCUUCUUGCCCCAACCUCCGUCACCUCCGCUUCUUGGCUGAGCUCGUUUCUGGGUUCUCUCUGCUUUCCCUUUCCAAUUCUUGCCCUCAUCUCUCUUCGCUCCCCAUCAGUCUCUCCAGACCUCUCUGUUUCCAGUGGAUUGCACUUCUCCGCCCUCUUAAAGACCUCUCGGUCUUUAUAACUGGAAGUGAAACCGAAUUGUUCAGCUACAAUGGCUUCGCUCCAGUUUUGAUGCUAAACUCAAUUUACUCUCUUUCCCUGUGUGGAACUCAAGGGGUUGAUUAUGGCCUCAAUUUUCUAUGGAGGAAUUGCAAGAAACUGGAGAAAUUGAAGCUGAAAAGCUGUGAGUUCGUGGGAGAUAACGUGUCUUUUUCAGCAUUUAUCAAGGGAUUAGAGACUCUCAAAGAAGUGGAAGAAGUGGAAUUGAGGACUUCUAGGACUCUAGCGGAUGGGGUUUUAUUAAAAUUAGCAGGGGGCUCUGUUUCUUUAAGUUGGUCUACGAUGGCAGUAGUAAAGAGGGCUUGCUUCAAUUCAUUAGUCAUAGCAGGGCUGACGUGCAAAAACUUGAUUUGAGGUUGCCUCUUGAUCUUGACAACGAUCAUUUGAUAGCAGUGGCUGAGAAUUUUGAGAAUGGAAGUUAGUUUAAUUGGCUUGCACUUUUUUUUUCCUUAUCAGUUGAUGGGUUUAUGCAAGUAAACGGUCGAAAAAUUGUUGGACAAAAUUGACCCUGCACUUUGCCACAUGUAAUGCUAAUUUCAGAAAUUAAGAGCAAUUACCGACGAAAUGGUUGCGAGUUUAC
rnacentral:lncRNA from 1 species